rnacentral:misc_RNA from 1 species
AAGUCGUAACAAGGUUUCCGUAGGUGAACCUGCGGAAGGAUCAUUAACAAGCCGUGGAGGUCACCCUGAAAGGGGCGGAUCUUUCACCUGGCCACCCUUGUUUACUUAUACCUGUUGCUUUGGUGGACCCGCCAUAAGGCCGCCGGGGAACCUAGGUUUCCGGGCCCGUGUCCACCAAGGUUUUUACUAAAUCUGCAAUGUCUUUUUGCUGUCUGAGUGAGGAAAAGCAUAAUUUUUUUAAAAAAAACUUUCAACAACGGAUCUCUUGGUUCCG